ACGCAGAGAAGAUCUUUGUUACUACGGCUUCUCCUGUCAGUGCUCCCUCCCCUCCAAUUCCCUGCUCCUGUCUGAGCGCGAGCCUCUCUUUCCCCUCUGAACCUUCACGAGUUCUCCUGAAACCCGCGCGCCCCCCUCUCCAGUCAACAUGGCUACAGUUGUAACCUCGACGCGAUUCACGGACGAGUAUCAGCUGUACGAGGAGCUCGGAAAGGGUGCCUUCUCUGUCGUUCGGCGGUGUGUCAAGAAGUCCACCAGCCAGGAGUAUGCUGCAAAAAUUAUCAACACGAAGAAGCUAUCAGCGAGAGG